rnacentral:tRNA from 1 species
GGCCUAGCAAUGGGUUGAACGUUCGGACUUUUAAUCCGUUGGUCGCGAGUUCGAAUCUCGCAGGACCCACCA